rnacentral:rRNA from 1 species
UACAGAGACUGCAAGCGUUAUUCGGAUUCACUGGGCGUAAAGGGUGCGCAGGCGGCCAAGUGUGUCAGGUGUGAAAUCCCUGGGCUCAACCCAGGAACUGCGUCCGAUACUGGAAGGCUUGAAUCCGGGAGAGGGAUGCGGAAUUCCAGGUGUAGCGGUGAAAUGCGUAGAUAUCAGGAGGAACACCGGUGGCGAAGGCGGCUAUCUGGACAGAGUCUGACGCUGAGGCGCGAAAGCUAGGGGGAGCAAACAGG